CAAACCUUGCUUCCAUGCAUGUUUUCUCUUUAGGUUGUGGGAUUGAUUCUCAUCUAGGGUUUGCCUUUUUGAGUGAGGAGAGACUGGAGAUGCUUUGCUCAGACAUGCACACAUCAAGUCUGGGACUGAUGGUUCCCUUCUGCCAACUAAUGGUUGUUUCGGGAACAUCCAACUUGUCCUUACCCCCAGUUGUAUAAGUGGUCUUUAGUACGGUAGGAAGGGUAUUGCUGGAACACCUUUUCAUCCCUGAAUCAGAAAUGUGUGCUAAGGUCUGUGAUUCCAGCAUUGCUCUUUUGAGAAGGUCUGUUUGGCUUGGAGUGAAUCUCCUGGAAGCAGAGGAGAACCACAUUGUACUCUUCUCUAUCUCUUCUGCACCUGUGGCCUCAUGGCUUUAAAUUUCAAACCAAGCCAGCAAAGCACCACAGCCUCUGCAAACCUGGAUUCUUAAUAAUCCCCAGGUUGAUCACUUACCACAGAACUAAUUACAACUCUUCCAAGCCUCCUGUUUUUCUCUCCCUCCUUUGCUUCCUUUUCAUUUCCUAUGUCCUAGGCCUUGAAAUGCUUGGUCUUGACAUGACAAUUGAUGGCUGCUGGCUGUACAAACACAAAGGCCUGGAGUAUAAGGAGAGCCAGAUGGAGCUGGAAUUGCACUGUGUAUUCUUCCUAAAUAAGCGAAAGAUUAUAAAUUGAUGAAAUUUCUUCCCCUCAGUUUCCUGUACCCAAGUCCACGAGGGACGCUCAGCCCAGCAGCAGAGGAGUUGACCUCAGGUUUUUCUGGUGACACCAGCGCUGACACUCUGCCUCCUCCACGUUGGCAUGGAUGCUUAGAAGAGCUGCUCCCAAAGGAUGACAAAUGAAAUGGGACCAGCCUGUCUGUGAAGGGGAACGCUUCCCUCUGCUAACAGCUUGACUGAGAUUCACCCAAUUUGCUUCCUAACCGUUGGAACUGCCCCCACCAGUGAGUAGGUGCAGAGAUCAGCUUCUUCUGGAAGAAAUGUAUCUAAAAUGAGCAGAAGUGCUCUCCUGUGUAUCACGGGGACGUUGUCAUCUCCCAGGCUGUGAUAUGUGGCUAAAAAAAGAACAGAGGGCUCCUAAAAGUAGCCGAAAAGUGCAUGAUCUGAUUUUUUUUUUAACCAAUCAGCAUAAUACAUUUCACCCUAUGGUUUAUUUCUCCGUAAACCUUGCCACAAUUGCUGGAAGCUUCUAACUGGAAAGGAUGCCAACUUGAGCUGGAGGACACAUCUAAGAGAUGACCUCAGGCCAACUGAAAGAAGGUAGAGCAUUUUAGGAGGACCGUUCCAUUUAUUCUUGCAAUUUAGACGCUUCACUGACUUCUGAUCAUCUUCAGAAUGGAUAAAAUGCCAAUGGACCGUACUGAAUGGUAAAUAAAUGGUACUACAGCCCACUGACUGUUAGUCGUUCGUUAAUAUAUCUACAUAGGGAUAACACUGUGGAGACUAAAUCCUGAAUAAAACUGUCUGAGGUGAUACAAAAACGAACAUGAAAAGGAUGACCCUAAGCUAAAAAGAUUACUUGUGUUUGUUUGGCUCGAUGGCUGUAAUAGCAGCAGUAUUCAGCUGGAACAAUUAUUGGGUAGAAAAGAAGGGUUUUUUUUUUGUAUAAGUUCAGAAUGCUUUCACUGUUAUUAUCUAAAAUUGAACUAUGUAUAUUAUUUUAAAUGGGUAAAUUUUUGUUUUGUAUCCAUGAAAUUGCUACCACAUUAACAAGAUUUUCCAGGCAUUAAUGGAUUGAUUUCUGUUAAAUUGUAACUAUAUUAAUUCAUCCCAAUUACCUCUAAGUAAAAUUUAAAUUAAGUUAAAUUGAAGAAAUUAAAAAUGUUUGAAAACCCUGCAUGGAAACCUUGAGGCAUCAUAAGAUUGUCAUUUCUCAUCUUUAAUGUCAUUCAUUUUGCAACUGAGAACACAACAUAAGUAGUCUCAGUUCUCACAAGAUUUGUAAGCUGCUAUUUUUCUGUACAAUUUGAAGGUAAUUUAAAGGUAUCUCAAUAAGUCCAACCUGCUUUUUUUUUUUUUUUCUUCCCUCCUGAUGGAAAAGGCUGUUUGCUCCUUUCCUAAGAAGGAAGCUGAUGUAUGGAUGAUCCAUUUAUAAUGAGAAGAUACUCUGCCAUAAAGACAGGUUUAAAUGAAUACAGGAAGUGCUGUCAUUGGUCUCAUUGAGAGAGCACUCGGAGUAGGCAUAGAGGAAGUGCUGGCUGCCCAGUAGUGACAUGCAGCUCCUGAGUGCAACAUUGCUCCAAAUGGCAGAAGAAUCCUUCUUCUGAAGGUUAUGGCUAAGGAUUAGCCUUCUGCAAAGCCUGGUGACAGAUCCAGGCUGAGAUAGCUUUAAUCUGAUGCUGGGGAACACAACUAUGUUCUGGUUUAGCCAAGCUCUGAGUUGCUCACAUCUGGGCUAGAAAUAUUUGAGUAGAAACUGACUCUAAAUGAGAAAAGUUUGUACAUUCUCCCAAGUUAUGUUACAAUUUACAGGGGAAAGAGAACUGGGAAUAGAACUGGAGGUCUCAGCAGAUGGUAACUCAAAGUGUUCAUUCAUCUCCUGAUCAACCGCUUCUUGAAAAAGGCCCUUCCAAAAGCACAGUUCUCCAGAUCCUGAUUUCUAGACACAUUCGGAGCAUGGAAGGGCCUUGUCUGCAUGUCUGUGAAGGUGGUCAAUGCGCUGCACUGAGGUGGAGAUCAAGUUUUAUUAAUGGAGGAUGUCAUGCUGUGAAACUGUUGGCAUUUCACGACUUCUCUUUGGCUUCCUUUGUCCUUGGAAGCUCUGUAUUCUUCAAGGUUGGCCCGGUGGUCUGCUCAGAGGUAAUAACUGCUAACUAGAACUAGCAGAAACCAGACAAAGUACUCAGUUUAGAUCAUCCAUGCUCUGAGAGAAUUAGACGGAUGCAGGUCACGCUGAGGAGAACCAGGGAAGCUGUUCCCCUCCCUGCAGCAGAGUCAUUCAAACUGAAAGCUGCUCGCAGGAGGGAGGAGGAUUGGAGAAAGGUGCUUCUUAAUUGCAUUUUGGUUCUGGACCCUC
ensembl:lncRNA